rnacentral:rRNA from 1 species
CACGUAGGGCGCAAGCGUUGUCCGGAAUUAUUGGGCGUAAAGAGCUCGUAGGCGGUCUGUUGCGUCCGCUGUGAAAACUCGGGGCUUAACCCCGAGCCUGCAGUGGAUACGGGCAGACUAGAGGUAGGUAGGGGAGAAUGGAAUUCCCGGUGUAGCGGUGAAAUGCGCAGAUAUCGGGAGAACACCGGUGGCGAAGGCGGUUCUCUGGGCCUUACCUGACGCUGAGGAGCGAAAGCGUGGGGAGCGAACAGG